GACGAACGCUGGCGGCGUGCUUAACACAUGCAAGUCGAACGGAAAGGCCCCUUUGGGGGUCCUCGAGUGGCGAACGGGUGAGUAACACGUGAGUAACCUGCCCUUGACUUCGGGAUAACUUCAGGAAACUGGGGCUAAUACCGGAUAGGAAUCCUUGCUGCAUGGUGGGGGUUGGAAAGCUUCGGCGGUUUUGGAUGGACUCGCGGCUUAUCAGCUUGUUGGUGGGGUAGUGGCUUACCAAGGCUUUGACGGGUAGCCGGCCUGAGAGGGCGACCGGCCACAUUGGGACUGGGAUACGGCCCAGACUCCUACGGGAGGCCGCAGUGGGGAAUAUUGCCCCAUGGGCGGAAGCCCGAUGCAGCAACGCCGCGGGCGGGAGGACGGCCUUCGGGUUGUAAACCGCUUUCAGCAGGGGCGAAGCUUGUGGUGACGGUACCUGCAGAAGAAGCACCGGCUAACUACGUG
rnacentral:rRNA from 1 species